rnacentral:lncRNA from 1 species
UUGAUUUUAAACCAAUUUCUCUUAUACUCUAAUUUAAGUUCUCUUUUGUUUUCUUUUCCUUAUUUUGUUUUAUUCACAAAAUCAAAUCAUAACCCCCCUUGGUGUUGGCGUGUGUGUGGAAGUCCUCGUGAUUUCAAUCUUUAUUUUGUUUUCGUGUUUAAUUGUGUUUUAGUUUUCAUUGUGUGACAUUGAUAAACAUCUCUUUAGAUCACAAUCUCUGUGGAAUCGACCAUUGCUUGCUUACUAUACUAUCAUUUGAUUUGUG